rnacentral:tRNA from 2 species
UCCUCGAUGGUCUAACGGUCAUGAUUUCCGCUUGUCAUCCUAUACGAGGAACAAGCGCGGGAGACCUGGGUUCGACUCCCAGUCGGGGAG